rnacentral:rRNA from 1 species
UACGAAGGGGGCUAGCGUUGCUCGGAAUCACUGGGCGUAAAGGUGCGUAGGCGGGUCUUUAAGUCAGGGGUGAAAUCCUGGAGCUCAACUCCAGAACUGCCCUUUGAUACUGAAGAUCUUGAGUCCGGGGAGAGGUGAGUGGAACUGCGAGUGUAGAGGUGAAAUUCGUAGAUAUUCGCAAGAACACCAGUGGCGAAGGCGGCUCACUGGCCCGGGUACUGACGCUGAGGCACGAA